UCAUCAUAAAAAAAACUCUUCCUGUCUCCUUUAUUAAUUUCUCAUUCGAAAAGUUUAUGAUCAAUUAAUUUAUGAUCAGUUAUUUAUUUUAAAUAAAUGUGAGAAGUGUUUUCAUAUCUGGUCCGCGGUAUUUUUACACAAUCGCUUCAUACAACUUCUCAUCUGUUGCUCCAUCUGAGCACAGGAAGCAAAGAAGCAAACUAAAGACGAGGUCGCCUUACGCAUCCACAUCAGGGGAAAAAAUGAAUAAAAAACCCAAAAGAAACUUUAAUACGUUGAUCCAGUCUGACCGGUCAGGUGGCCAUAUCUCAGGAGCUUCUGUUGCAGGCUGGGAGGUGCUGAGUCAUGUACAGUAGGAGGCCACUCUUAUCUCCACUCUCCAGGAGAACUUCUGGCAGUUGGGUGUGGGGUGAAACGGGAACCUUGGAUGAUCUUGGCCUUUUUUUCACAGGACAACUUAUUGUUUGUGUAAGGUGGGUUCAGCUGAGCAGAACAUAAAGCAUACACAAAGACGGCGAAGGGGAACGCAAAGACGCCGAAGGGGGAAACAGGAAACCAGCACGUUCCUAUUUCCUGUUAGCAGCAUGAAGUGAUUGAUGGUUGCCAAAGAGGAGGAAUGAAAACGGUUUGGAAACCAAAAAAAGAAGGAGGAGGGGAGAGUUAAAGGAAGUUGUAAAGGUGUUGACUUUCAGCUGUAAGGAGAAGAGAUGGGAGGCCUGUUUUAUCGGCAAAGGAAACAGAUAUCAGAGGGCCAGCGACUCCAGGAAAAUGGAUCUGGGUUGAGCAAAAACCACGAUUACCACCGGCUCUGCUUUGGAUAGGGCCAUCUGGAGAGGUCUGCUCCAAAAAGAUGCUUAACCAGCUACUCUGGGGCCCAGCUAGGAAACACGUUUUCUGAAAAACCACCCGGUCCCUGAGUGAGGAGUUUGGUUUUCCUCCAGUGCUUUUCUCAAACACCUCCUCCUGCUUCCUCUUCGCUCGAGCUUGCAGAUGCCUCAUUCCUACUCAUUCUGAAAGCUGAGGACGUUUUGCCGUUGCAGGGUGAGGGUGGAAGAGUGCAGCGUCUGUUCCCGGUAGUGUCUGAUUUGACUCUUCAGAAACCCACAGAAAAUAACAAUUCUUGACAACUUCAAGCUGAGAAUCGAUGCACGUUCUUCCACUUUCAAUGUGUGAUGGAUCAUUUAUCCCACAUGGUUUAUAAGAAUUAAACUGAAAGCUUCGUUUAGCCUUACACGUCAUGUUUUGGUGCUGUAAGUCUAGAAAGUGAUGCUGUUUACACACCUCCAGCUAUUGCCACAUGCGGAGAGGUAAAGAGUAAAUCUAGGGCAGACAUAUACGGUUUGAUGGUACAGAUAAUAAGAAACAGAUGAGAUGUGAAGAUAAAUAAUUGCAAUGGUUAUGGAAAACUCUUUAUACCGAUCAUAUGACAUGCUUCAUUUUAGAAAGCAUAGUACUUCAGCAUUUUUGUAAAACAUAUACAUUUAAUAAACCCAUGACCUUAGCGUUGCUAACACAAAGUUCUACAAGUUGAGCUAGAGGAGCACUACAGGAGUAAAAAGACACAUACCUGUACUUUUUUUUUUUUUUAAUAAAACUGCUUUAGGAUUUUUGGCUGAAUGGUUCAAUAAAGAGCCUUUAACAGGUUAUUUGUGGUGAAAAAGGUUCCUUAGAAAUGGUGCUUUAAAGAAACUUUAUUUUUAAGAGUGUAUAUGACAAUCACUGUAAUGACACUCUUAAAAAUAAAGGUAGAAAAAUAAAGAUUCUCAAAGGGAAUCUUUACAGCGAUGUCACAGAAGAACCAUUUUUGCUAUGUAGUGCACACACUGAUAGUGGGGUAUAGGAAGUGAUUAACAGAUAAGCCUUCAAAACUGGUCUUUAUCAUAAGAAUGAUUAUUAUUUUAUUUGUGUAAGGUUUUUAAAUAUAGUUAUGGUUCCAAAAGUGUUACACAAGGUUUAUAAACAAAAUGAUGUAUGUUGAGUAACAAAGUAACAUUAUUCACACUGUAUAAAGUGAAAAGUUAUAGAUCACUUCAAAAAUUACUUAAAGUA